rnacentral:tRNA from 1 species
GGAGGGGUGGCUGAGUGGUUUAAGGCGCCGGUCUUGAAAACCGGAGUGUCCUUACGGGCACCGGGGGUUCGAAUCCCUCCCCCUCCGCCA